rnacentral:miRNA from 8 species
CGGGACUACGUUAACUUCCAGC